rnacentral:rRNA from 1 species
UACGUAGGGGGCAAGCGUUGUCCGGAAUUAUUGGGCGUAAAGGAGCGCGCAGGCGGUCGUGCAAGUCGCGUGUGAAAGCCCCCGGCUCAACUGGGGGAGGGUCACGCGAUGACUGCUCGACUUGAAGGCAGGAGAGGGAAGUGGAAUUCCUGGUGUGAGCGUGAAAUGCGCAGAUAUCAGGAGGAACACCGGUGGCGAAGGCGGGUCUCUGGGCCGAAUACUGACGCUGGAGGAGCGAAAGCGUGGGGAGCGAACAGG